rnacentral:rRNA from 1 species
ACCUUCGCAAUGCGCGAAAGCGUGACGAGGUUAAUCCGAGUGGCUUCCGCUGAGGAAGUCUUUUGCCGACUUUAAAAAGGUCGGAGAAUAAGGGGAGGGCAAGUCUGGUGUCAGCCGCCGCGGUAAUACCAGCUCCUCGAGUGGUCGGGGCGAUUAUUGGGCCUAAAGCAUCCGUAGCCGGUUCCGUAGGUCUCCUGCAAAAUCCAGUCGCUCAACGAUUGGCCCGCAGGAGAUACCGCGGGACUAGGAGGCGGGAGAGGUGGACGGUACUCCACGUGUAGGGGUAAAAUCCUUUGAUCCGUGGAAGACCACCAGUGGCGAAGGCGGUCCACCAGAACGCGCUCGACGGUGAGGGAUGAAAGCUGGGGGAGCGAACCGGAUUAGAUACCCGGGUAGUCCCAGCCGUAAACGAUGCGAGCUAGAUGAUCCAGUCGCAAAUCGCGACUGGAGUGUCGCAGGGAAGCCGUUAAGCUCGCCGCCUGGGGAGUACGGUCGCAAGACUGAAACUUAA